rnacentral:rRNA from 1 species
CCUACGGGCGGCAGCAGUGAGGAAUAUUGGUCAAUGGCCGAGAGUCUGAACCAGCCAAGUCGCGUGAGGGAAGACGGCCCUACGGGUUGUAAACCUCUUUUGUCAGGGAGCAAGGUGCAGGUCGGGACCUUCUUUGAGAGUACCUUAAGAAAAAGCAUCGGCUAACUCCGUGCCAGCAGCCGCGGUAAUACGGAGGAUGCGAGCGUUAUCCGGAUUUAUUGGGUUUAAAGGGAGCGUAGAUGGGUUGUUAAGUCAGUUGUGAAAGUUUGCGGCUCAACCGUAAAAUUGCAAUUGAUACUGGCAGUCGUGAGUACAGUUGAGGUAGGCGGAAUUCGUGGUGUAGCGGUGAAAUGCUUAGAUAUCACGAAGAACUCCGAUUGCGAAGGCAGCUUACUAAACUGCAACUGACAUUGAUGCUCGAAAGUGUGGGUAUCAAACAGGAUUAGAUACCCCAGUAGUC